GACGAACGCUGGCGGCGUGCUUAACACAUGCAAGUCGAACGGAAAGGCCCUGCUUUUGUGGGGUGCUCGAGUGGCGAACGGGUGAGUAACACGUGAGUAACCUGCCCUUGACUUUGGGAUAACUUCAGGAAACUGGGGCUAAUACCGGAUAGGAGCUCCUGCUGCAUGGUGGGGGUUGGAAAGUUUCGGCGGUUGGGGAUGGACUCGCGGCUUAUCAGCUUGUUGGUGGGGUAGUGGCUUACCAAGGCUUUGACGGGUAGCCGGCCUGAGAGGGUGACCGGCCACAUUGGGACUGAGAUAAGGCCCAGAAUCCUACGGGAGGCAACAGUGGGGAAUAUUGCACAAUGGGCGGAAGCCUGAUGCAGCAAAGCCGCGUGCGGGAUGACGGCCUUCGGGUUGUAAACCGCUUUCGCCUGUGACGAAGCGUGAGUGACGGUAAUGGGUAAAGAAGCACCGGCUAACUACGUG
rnacentral:rRNA from 1 species